UUAGAGGAAGUAAAAGUCGUAACAAGGUUUCCGUAGGUGAACCUGCGGAAGGAUCAUUAACGAUUGCUACUCACGCAAAAAAAAGACAAAGACAUGAUGGUUAAAGCUAACAACACUCCUGACGAGAUCAGGGAGUGUGAUGCCUCUCUCUCUCUCGCGCGCUAGCGAAGAGCAAGGGCCAUCGUGGUCGCUACGUGCUAAUGCACUGCGCGGACGAUGUAAAACAAACAAACGAUGGCCUCUCAUAUUUUGCAAACAAUCUAUCGCCAUGGCAUACAGGCCUGGCUCUGGUACGAGUCUCUCGCAGUCUCAAAACCAACCUUACAACUCUGAGCGGUGGAUCACUUGGCUUGUGGAUGCUAUGAAGACCAUAGCUAAGUGUGAGAAUGGCAGCGAGCCGUCGCUAUAUGCGCUGUCCUCUUCUUAUCACAUGUCGAAUGCACAUUGCGCCCCACCCAGCGGUCGGCUAACCUCCUGCAGACAAAAGCCUGUGUUCUGGAGCAAAGGUUGAUGUGUGGCCCUCGAGCAACGGCGGGGGAGCCAGGAGCACAUUGACGUGCGUUCCAGUCACUCGUGAGUAGUCAGGCUGAACCCCAUGGUGGGGCACUCCUAGUCGAGUGUGGUGGAUCGGGCUCAUCUCCUAUUGCGCUUUGCCGCGAAGGAGCUUGAGUUUCUUUGUUGCUGGUGGCUAUUCUGGUCGACAUCAGUCGUGCCUGUACAAACCUGCCUUGGCUCGUGCCUCUGUGCGUUUAACUUACGCGGUUGCGCAUAUCGAAAGGCCAAAGCUGGCGAUCACUCGUGCGGCCAGGGCACCAUCUUCGGCCAGGUUCAUUUUUUUGAUAAUGGCUGGUGGUGCGCAGAGGUCCAAAAUUCGGAUUUGGUAACGUUCGAGAGUCGGGUCUCUGUUUCUCUGUCUCGCUCACGCACAGCGAGUGGUGUACGAUACUUACCCACAUAUGCUUGUCGUCCGUCCCGCCCACGCGCUUGUCCGGCUAAGGCUCGUUUCUCGUACUAUCCGAGAACGACACACGGGCCCUACAUCUUUCAUUCACGCUGGUCGUCCGACAAACGCCUGACGAGUUCAGGAAGGAUUUUCCAAGUGUGCUGGAAGUAACGGACUUGCGCGCAGUAUCGCACCACUCCCUUCACUGUGUGUCGGCGGGGAAUGAGUGAGACCUGCCAUCUCGCUUUUGCAUAUGCCACCACCUCGACUUAGGAGAGGAUACCCGCUGAACUUAAGCAUAUCAGUAAGCGGAGGAAAAGAAACCAAUCAGGGAUUCCCUUAGUAGGGGCGACCGAAAAGGGAUGAGCCCAGCGCAGAACCUCCCGGGCCACCCGGCCUGCGGCGGAAUGUUGCGUUAAGGGAAAGGUCGUAGUCAAACCCCACAGCCACGCGAGCACUAAGUAAGUCACGAAUUGGCUAUCCCAACUAACGGAGGGAGCAUCUCCACGGAGGGUGUCAGACCCGUGUGGGCGCGUGUAAAUGCUGUGUGGGCUCGGCCUCUUUUCCCUGAGAGUCGCGUUGCUUGAGCAUGCAGCGCUAAGCAGGUCGUAAACUCGAUCUAAGGCUAAAUAUGUCCACAAGACCGAUAGUGAACAAGUACCGUGAGGGAAAGUUGAAAAGCACUCUGAAGAGAGAGUCAAAAGACCGUGAAACCGCUC
rnacentral:rRNA from 1 species